AUUGAACGCUGGCGGCAGGCCUAACACAUGCAAGUCGAGCGGAAACGAAGGGAGCUUGCUCCCAGGCGUCGAGCGGCGGACGGGUGAGUAACACGUGAGAAUCUGCCCAUUAGUGGGGGACAACUCGGGGAAACUGGCGAUAAUACCGCAUACGCCCUGAGGGGGAAAGAUUUAUUGGUCUAUGAUUGGCCCGCGCAACAUUAGGUAGUUGGUUAGGUAACGGCUAACCAAGCCUACGAUGUUUAGCUGGUCUGAGAGGACGAUCAGCCACACUGGAACUGAGACACGGUCCAGACUCCUACGGGAGGCAGCAGUGAGGAAUAUUGGGCAAUGGGGGCAACCCUGACCCAGCCAUGCCGCGUGAGUGAAGAAGGUUUUCGGAUCGUAAAGCUCUUUCGGGUGAGAAGAUAAUGACGGUAUCACCUAAAGAAGCCCCGGCAAACUUCGUGCCAGCAGCCGCAGUAA
rnacentral:rRNA from 1 species